AGAGUUUGAUUCUGGCUCAGGAUGAACGCUAGCUACAGGCUUAACACAUGCAAGUCGAGGGGCAGCGGGAUUGAAGCUUGCUUCAAUUGCCGGCGACCGGCGCACGGGUGAGUAACGCGUAUCCAACCUUCCGUACACUCAGGGAUAGCCUUUCGAAAGAAAGAUUAAUACCUGAUGGUAUCUUAAGCACACAUGUAAUUAAGAUUAAAGAUUCAUCGGUGUACGAUGGGGAUGCGUUCCAUUAGGUAGUAGGCGGGGUAACGGCCCACCUAGCCUACGAUGGAUAGGGGUUCUGAGAGGAAGGUCCCCCACAUUGGAACUGAGACACGGUCCAA
rnacentral:rRNA from 1 species